GCAAUGCUCAUCACACUGCAUAGUAAUUGCUCAAUUGAUUGCUUUUCUUCCCACGGGCUGGAUUGUACCAGUGUCCUUUACUGCAGUGACUGAACAUUCUAGGCAUAGUGGAUUCAAGAAAUCUUGAGUUCAUUGGCUGGUCCACCCGUGGCUCCAAAAUGGUCUCCUGGUCCGUGAUAGCAAAGAUCCAGGAAAUAUGGUGCGAGGAAGAUGAGAGGAAGAUGGUGCGAGAGUUCUUGGCCGAGUUCAUGAGCACAUAUGUCAUGAUGAUAAGAUCUAAGGCACAUGAGAUGAUAUGCUUUCUGUUUGAGUUUCUCCUUUAUGUUACGCAUACUGAUAAAACUGUUGAUGCCAGUUGAUCUGAAGGUCCCAGCAAGGAGCCGACUCACGGAAGAAUGCAGUUUUCACAUCGUGAUGAUUUAAUCUUCCUUGACCUGACCAAUUGACAACCCCAAUUCUCCAGACCCUCACCCGCCACAAUCCCCUUAAAAACCCUGGCCCAGAACCCCUCAAGCAGACAGAUUUGAAGCUUGAGGAUUCCUUCAUCUCUUUGCCCAAUGGCAUUGUGAUUAUUAAACUCUUUUUCUGCUGCAAAUUAUGAUGUCUCAGUGUAUUGGUCUAUUGCUGCUCAGUGGGCAUAUGAAUCUGGCAGUCCUGUAAUAGAGACAAAAGAUAAACUACUGGCAAAACACUCGUAAAAGUCAUAACCUAAGACAUAGGCCCACUGAAAGGCGGAUAUUCAAUCAGAG
rnacentral:lncRNA from 1 species